rnacentral:sRNA from 1 species
GUUGGGAUUGGACAUGUGAAUACCCAUUUGCUUUCGUAUUGCAUUGGAAGUUUUGGGAGUAAUCAUAAGGAUGUAGGGCUACGUUGUAAGAUGGUGAAUAAACUGCACUCCAUAAUACAUGUUUACUUGCUCAUGAAGGCAAUAUGUCAACUUAUUUUUUCACCUCUUCCUCAUGUUGCCAAUAUUUAAGCACAUAUAAGUUAAACCACAAUCAUUUUCUAUACAUGUCACAUUUUUCACUAAGGUGGAAUCAAAAUCAGAUAUAGAAACUACUGAACAAGUAUGCCUCCAUUAUUUUUUAACAAAAGCUACAACAAUUAUUACAUAGCUCUUGGCUUGAAAUAAGAUACAACAAUAUCUAACCAUGGAUGAAAGAAAACACAUUAAAGAGCUGCCAACAAUAAGAAAGAGAUACAAAUUAUUCAGAGAGCAAAUUUAAUCUACCUCUAUUAAAGGGCAUCUCGAGUGGAGGCCACACCUAUAGCAAUGCUCUCACGUGGGCCAUAUGGACUAAGAUUAUUCAUAAGACACCCAUCUUUCAAUGGAGGGCACUCUCUAAGACAACAAGAUAAAGAGGGCACGGUCUACGCCCAACGCAUGGCCACAAGCCGUGGCUUGGCGAAAAGCGGCCAAGAACACUAAAGCCGCACAUACGUACCUUGCCUGGGCGUCACGUUUCUUUGCAGGGGCACAGUUCCAACUUGGAAAAUGGUAGCUAAACACCAUGAGCAGAGCUCUGAUCUGAAGGUACGCAUUGAAGAUGGCCUAAUUUGCUCCAUGCAACUUUGAUCGUUCAAACUAUAUAGAUCCACCCCAAUUUGUAUCCCUAUAUGUGUGGGAGCGGUGACAAGGGGCCUAGGGGACAGCAGUGAAGUGAGGAGGGGAAAAGCUCAUCAAUCAUAAAGCAAUGGAUUACAGAAUCAUUUCAUGUCCUUUGCUGGUCCUUUCAUCCCUAUGUUAACAUCUGAGAUCUUGCCCUUUACUCCUGCCUCAAGGCAGCAGGCAAGCAGCAGUCUGUGGCCUCUGUGUAUCUAUCUGUGACAAGUCCACAGGAGUCCACACACAUAUGCAUCUGCAUCAAUGCAUUCAUGAUUCACUAUCACAAUAUACUACUGUCUGGUAUCUUUCUGAAAAAGUAAAGUCAUGAUCAAGGAAAAGCAGUAAAAUGCCCCUUUGGUGGAUGACAGGAACUUUAGUGCUCCCCUGGCUUUACUUUGUGUGACCAUCCUGCAAAAAUCUUGGACAAUGAAUUUUCUCACUGCACUUUUACUGUGGCUCCAUCUGUUACAAACCGCCCUAAUGUCUAAAGCGUUUUGACCACUACUGCAGCUUACAAUCUGAUCAGUAUUAAUUGGUCACCGGCCAGUUAUGACUGUGGAACAGCUCGGAUGCAGUUGAUCCCUUAGAGCAAAUACAAUAGCAGACUAUAAGUUAGCUAUAAAAAUAUAAAAAAGGAGAGAUAAGAGCAGCGGGCUACAGAUUUGUAGCCAGCUGUAGCACAGACCCCAAGAUGUAUGCGUGUAUGAUAGGUGGGACCAGACAUUAAUUAUAUAGUACAUAUUUAUAUGUAACUAUUGUAUGAAAUUAGCUAUUAAAUUGACAAUAGAUGAUUUGGAGCCAAUAGUUGGUUAUACUAUUAAACUUGCUCUUAUGCGCAUAAAAAUGUACUACCUCCGUCCUAAAAAAAUUUGCAUUUCUAGCUCUAAGGCUUUGUCCCACAAAAAUUGUAUUUCUAGCCAUGUGGGGCCCAGCAAAUUGAUUCAUCUAGAUAAGUUUCCUUAAGUUCUCUCAGCUUGUAAUUUAAGUAUGCUAAUUAUAUGGGUUAAUUCUCUCAAACUUCCUUUUAAUCAUUUGUAUAUAUGAAAUGUGUGCAUGCAAUUGGUUCAUUAAAUAAGGUCAUUGUGGUCAUUUUUUAAUCCUACUGUUUUGUCCUAAAUUAGCUAGAAAUGUAAUUUUUAUGGGACGGAGGGAGUAUGAAAAAUAUUCAUAUAUAAGCAUGAAACAUGUCAUAUUGUUUGGGUGGAAUUCAGCAUGAAAAUACAAUAAUUCACAAACAAGAUAUGCAAUCUAAAGCGAAAACAAACAAGCACGCACAAUAUCUUUACUCAAAUGCAAAAUAGUCAUUCAUAUAUUUUUUUUCCAUGUUUUAAUCUUUUAUUUUGUACUUACAUUCAUAUCAAAAUUAGUUUUUUAAAAUAUUCAUACAUUUUCUAAAUCUUACUUCCCCAAUAAGCUAGAUACAAGUUUGGAAAUCAAGAUGACAAGACAUUCUGAUCUCUAGAAAGCAUACACUGUUUGCCAUGAAUGGAUACUCCCUUUAGCAGGUCAGUACCAUGCAAUUGACAUAGUAGCUAUCAGUUAUAUGAGCAGUGAGGUUCAGAAACAAGAAAAGGUACCAUGCAUCUGUGUCUAGUGAACAGUGUACACCAUAUGUAUGUGCCACAUCUAUCUAUCUAUAAUAAAAGCUAACAAAAUACGGAUGAGAUCUAGCCCGUAUCACUUGAUAUGAGAUGUACUUGAUAGUGCAGUGGUAAGAGGUGUGUGGUUUUAAUCCCAAGGUCCUGUGUUCAAAUCAUAACAUACAUGCUCAUAAUUUCUUAUUAAAUUUUUUUCGGAGGAACGUCUCUCCCUCCAAAUCUCAUUUUUUUAAGUUGAUGCCUUUAGCUAUAGACUCCUUCGGCCCAUAAAUAUAAAGGAUUCUAAAGAGAUUAAGGAUAAGAAAGAGUAUGCCACUAGUGGAGAAACGAUUUUCCUGGACAAGGAGCUAUUUAGUUUACAGACGGACCGUUUUCACGUCCGCACGUGAAAAUCGGGCCUCUUAAAAACCUACCUACAAAUCUAUCCUUCCUCCUCUUUUCCCUCCUCAACACUUUAAAAUUUUAUCAAAUCCACCCAUCCUCAUCCUUAUCCUUUCUAUCCUCUCUCUGACUCUCUCACCUCUCUAUCCUCUCUCACUCUCUCACCUCUCUCACACUACCAGGCGCAGACGGCACGGGCGCGGCAGGCGGCACCGCGCGGCUCGGAGGCGGGCUCAAGGCAUGCGCACGGGGUGGGCGACUGGGAGCAGUAGGCUCGCAGCGGCGGACGACUACCCCCCGCUC